GGCUGCAGAAAUUUUAACUGUACAAAGGUAGCAUAAUAAUUUGUUUUUUAAUUAAAAACUAGAAUGAAAGAUUAAAUGAAAUAUAAACUGUUUCAAUUAAAAUAAUAUUAAAAUUUUUAUUUAAGUUAAAAAACUUAAAUAUAUUUAAAAGACGACAAGACCCUAUAGAAUUUUAUUUAUAUUUUAAAUAAAAAUAUUUAUUUAUUUAAUUAAAUUUUUAUAAUAAAUUUAAUUGGGGUAAUUUAAAAAUUAAAAAAAUUUUUUUUAUAAAAAACAUUAAUUUAUGAAUAUUAUAUCUUAAAUUUUAAAUUAUUAAAAUUAAUUACCUUAGGGAUAACAGCAUAAUUUUUUUUAAAAGACCUUAUU
rnacentral:rRNA from 1 species